rnacentral:rRNA from 1 species
AUUGAACGCUGGCGGCAGGCUUAACACAUGCAAGUCGAGCGGUAGCACAGGGGAGCUUGCUCCCUGGGUGACGAGCGGCGGACGGGUGAGUAAUGUCUGGGAAACUGCCUGAUGGAAGGGGAUAACUACUGGAAACGGUAGCUAAUACCGCAUAACGUCGCAAGACCAAAGAGGGGGACCUUCGGGCCUCUUGCCAUCAGAUGUGCCCAGAUGGGAUUAGCUAGUAGGUGGGGUAAUGGCUCACCUAGGCGACGAUCCCUAGCUGGUCUGAGAGGAUGACCAGCCACACUGGAACUGAGACACGGUCCAGACUCCUACGGGAGGCAGCAGUGGGGAAUAUUGCACAAUGGGCGCAAGCCUGAUGCAGCCAUGCCGCGUGUGUGAAGAAGGCCUUCGGGUUGUAAAGCACUUUCAGCGAGGAGGAAGGUGGUGAGCUUAAUACGUUCAUCAAUUGACGUUACUCGCAGAAGAAGCACCGGCUAACUCCGUG